rnacentral:rRNA from 1 species
CCUACGGGAGGCAGCAGUGAGGAAUUUUGGUCAAUGGGCGCUAGCCUGAACCAGCCAAGUCGCGUGAAGGAUGACUGCCCUAUGGGUUGUAAACUUCUUUUAUAUGGGAAUAAAGUGCACUAUGUAUACUGCUUUUCAUGUAUCUUAUUACUAAGGAUCGGCUAACUCCGUGCCAGCAGCCGCGGUAAUACGGAGGAUUCGAGCGUUAUCCGGUUUUAUUGGGUUUAAAGGGAGCGUAGGCGGGUUGUUAAGUCCGUUGUUACAGUUUGCGGCUCAACCGUAAAAUUGCAGUUGAUACUGGCAUCCUUGAGUACAGUAGAGGUAGGCGGAAUUCGUGGUGUAGCGGUGAAAUGCUUAGAUAUCACGAAGAAAUCCGAUUGCGAAGGCAGCCUGCUGGACUGUAACUGACGCUGAUGCACGAAAGUGUGGGUAGCAAACAGGAUUAGAUACCCGAGUAGUC